rnacentral:rRNA from 1 species
AUGGCGCUGACCGUCGUCGUGGUGCUGCCCUCGCCGCCGCCGCCGCCGCCCCAGCCGGAGCAGAUCGUCGUCGCGGUGCUGCCCUCGCCGCCACCGCCGCCCCCGCCGGCGCGGGUCGUCGUCGUGGCGCCGGCGCUCGUGUGCCUCCCCUUCGUCCUCCGCGUCGUGGCGUUUGCCCUCAUCUACCUGGGCUUCGCGCUUGCGUGGAUCGUGUCUGCGGCCACGGCUGCAGAGGUCGUCGCGCGCCGCGCCUGGGGCGAGGGCUCCGCUCCCUUCCUGUUCCUCCAUGCGGUCAUGUACGGGGCCCUCCUUGCGUUGCUCGCGCUUGACGCCCUGCUACUGUGCGCCCUGUGCGUGGCCUACGUGAUUGCAGUUGUAUCUGGAUCCACUUCGGGAUUCAAGAAGAGCGCCUUCGGAGCAAUCACAGGGGAGUCAGCUGCACACUUGUUUAGGCUUCUGCGCCCCGCGGUGCUUGGAUUUGUCGUGGAGUUGGCCUUCAUCCUGCUAGCGCUCGCUGGUCUUCUGGUAGAGAUGAUGUCGCCACAUGUGAAGGGAUCGAUAUCUCUGGGGGAAAUGGUCGGUUCUGUAAUCGAGGAUGUGGGGAUAUUUGGUAUGCACGCGACAGUUUGCUUUCUUAUCAUCCCAGCUCUCGUUCUUAGUCUUUGGAGGGAGUGCUAG